rnacentral:pre_miRNA from 1 species
AGUGGAAUUGCUGGGUCAUAUGGUAACUCUAUGUUUACCUUUUUGAGGAGCUAUAAAACUGAUUUCCAAAGUGGCUGUACCAUUUUACAUUCCUAUCAGCAGU